AGCAAAUUAUUUGCCCGAUGUGCU
rnacentral:siRNA from 1 species